ensembl:lncRNA
CCUAGGCUCCAACCUUUAGUCACAUGUUGAUUACCUGCAGCAAAUAAAAAUAAAUAAAUUAAUACGACUGGGAGGAGGACCGCUCCACCGCCCUUCACCACUUCGGAGGAGCUGGCUCUCGCCAAUAACGAAGGUCGGCCGAUGAUGGUAGGAGUGGAAGGGGGGGGGGUGUCCUCUGACCCCACUGCCUCGACUUCCAAGGCCUUUGUAAUGAUUGAAGGUACAAACAUUAGUUUGGAGGAGCUGCCGACAAUCGAUCUCCAAUCAGAGGCGACAGUCGGCCUGUGACUCCAGGGCGACUAUGGAGGUCGCUGCUGCUUGAGGCGAUGGCUGCUUGAGCUGGCUGGUGCCGGAUAACACUGCUGCUCCAGGUCGAUGCUGCUUGAGGCGAUGGCUGCUUGAGCUGGCUGGUGGUGGCGAAGGAUGGUGGUGUCGCCUUCUGCUGCUAGUGGUGGCGGCUUAUGCUGGCGACGGCUGUUGGUGGCGGCGGCGGCGGCGACUGCUGCGAUUGUUGUCCUUCCUUUCGACCUGAUGCACUUUACUAUCCUUAACCUCAGCCUGAUGUUUGUGGAGUAUUUUCUUUGUUUAUUAAUAACUUAUAAUAUUCCUCCCUGUUCCUUCACUUUGUUCUUGUUUUACAAGUUAGAUAUACACGCACACCUGUUUACACAUUUGUUGUUCUUGUUGCACACAUGACUAACAUUGUUUUAUUUAUUGAUACCCCCUGGCUCUACUUUGCUGUUCUUGUUCACUUACUGUAUGUUUGCUUUGUUGUUCUUAGUCCUUGUUCCCACUUGUUUUUGGUUCCACAAACCUCAGCCUGAUAUAUCUGGCAUCUCAAACACUGGGUCCAGGGCCCCGUUUCCCGAUAACGAUGGAUCUUUCGAACCAUCGAUCAUUUCUUUGGAGCAUUUGGGGGGGGGGAUAUAGGACGUAAAUAUGGGCUAUUAUGACACGGCUCUUCUCAAUGCCGUGGAACGCUCCGUUCACUUGCAUGGGACCUUCACAACAACGCCAGCGUCUUCGACUUCUAAGCAACGUCAACGUCAACGGCUAACUAUUUCUCUGCUGAUCAACACUACGUAUGGUAACAAAUAAAUUAUAAAAAGACACCUUGUGAAGUCAGGCUAUUUUUUCGUUUGGCAAGUAGCUGCUCAUAAUCGAAAAUAAGCCCCUUCAGGUCGAAGCACCUCCGUU